AUCGCUUCUUGGCCUUUUGGCUAAGAUCGGAUGUAGUAUCUGUUCUCCUCAGCUUAACAAUGAUGGGAGCCAUCAUCUCCUGUAGGCUUGAAAGAUGAAGAUGAGGAAGCAGUU
rnacentral:snRNA from 1 species